CUCAUCUCAUACGUUAGUAAAGUGAUGCUUAAAAUUCUCCAAGCCAGGCUUCAACAGGCUUCAAUGGUACAUGAAUGAAGAAAUUCCAGACAUUCAAGCAGUAUUUAGAAAAGGCAGAGUAACCAGAGAUCAAAUUGCAACAUCUGUUGGAUCAU